CAGUCGUACCUGCGGAUAAUCAGCCUUUAGGAUGCGAUUUUGUGGAGUGUGAGGAGCUAAUCGCCUUCAUGCCUGUAUUUUCGUGUACUUGGGGUGUACUUAUUCGUGUGGUAAGUUAACAUCAAUUUUGAUUGUCAUAAAAUGACUGGAGGAAUGUAGCUUCGAUCUCGUAUUGAAGUGUUAUAGCCUUUGGUAGAUGUGAUUAUCGGGAUUGAGGAUUGCAACGGAUACCCUUCGGGGCUACUUGUCUGAUCUCUGAUCGUUGCUCUGGUGCCGAAAGCGUGCUUACGGUUAUCAAAGUCGAUGGUUAAUAGGUUAGAAUGGGUUAAA
rnacentral:rRNA from 1 species